GGGCCCUUAGCUCAGGUGGCUAGAGCGCCUGUUUUGCAAUCAGGAGGCCAAGGGUUCGACUCCCUUAGGGUCCA
rnacentral:tRNA from 1 species